rnacentral:rRNA from 1 species
GAUUGACCGCUGGCGGCAGGCCUAACACAUGCACGUCGAGCGGAUGAAGGGAGCUUGCUCCUGGAUUCAGCGGCGGACGGGUGAGUAAUGCCUAGGAAUCUGCCUGGUAGUGGGGGAUAACGUCCGGAAACGGGCGCUAAUACCGCAUACGUCCUGAGGGAGAAAGUGGGGGAUCUUCGGACCUCACGCUAUCAGAUGAGCCUAGGUCGGAUUAGCUAGUUGGUGGGGUAAAGGCCUACCAAGGCGACGAUCCGUAACUGGUCUGAGAGGAUGAUCAGUCACACUGGAACUGAGACACGGUCCAGACUCCUACGGGAGGCAGCAGUGGGGAAUAUUGGACAAUGGGCGAAAGCCUGAUCCAGCCAUGCCGCGUGUGUGAAGAAGGUCUUCGGAUUGUAAAGCACUUUAAGUUGGGAGGAAGGGCAGUAAGUUAAUACCUUGCUGUUUUGACGUUACCAACAGAAUAAGCACCGGCUAACUUCGUG